rnacentral:rRNA from 1 species
CCUACGGGUGGCAGCAGUGGGGAAUAUUGCACAAUGGGGGACACCCUGAUGCAGCGACGCCGCGUGAGUGAAGAAGUAAUUCGGUAUGUAAAGCUCUAUCAGCAGGGAAGAAAAUGACGGUACCUGAGUAAGAAGCCCCGGCUAACUACGUGCCAGCAGCCGCGGUAAUACGGAGGGGGCAAGCGUUAUCCGGAUUUACGGGGUGGAAUGGGAGUGUAGACGGCAGUGCAAGUCUGCAGUGAAAGGCGGGGGCUCAACCCCCGGACUGCUCUGGAAACGGUACGGCUGGAGUGCGGGAGAGGUAUGUGGAAGUCGUAGUGUAGCGGUGAAAUGCAUAGAUAUUAGGAGGAACACCAUUGGCGAAGGCGGCUUACUGGACUGUAACUGACGUUGAGGCUCGAAAGCGUGGGGAGCGAACAGGAUUAGAUACCCUGGUAGUC